ensembl:lncRNA
UAAAUAAAUAAAGCAAUAUUUAUUUAUCUUAUUUAAUGUUAAUUUAAAUUUCAGUUUUUACUAAUACAUUAUUAAAAUCAAAAGUUGUAUCUGUUAACAUUAUUUAAUGUACCUGAGCUGUCGUGAACUAAUAAUGAACAGCUGUUUAUUAACUAAUUUUAACAAUACUGUAAGAAACGUUCAUUGCUCAUUGUUAGGUAAUGUCAAUUAAUGCAUUAAUAGAACCUUUUUGUAAAGGGAACCUUAUUGUAUUUGUAAUCGUCUUUUAAAGCCCUGUGUCCCAGGUUUGGUUAGCACAGAAGACCGUGUGGAGUGCAAGCUUUGUCCCGCUGGUUUCUCUUGUGACAGCGCAUCAGGCAACCUUACAGCGUGUCUGUCAGGACAGUAUUCUCCAGAGGGACUCACUCAGUGUCUGCCAUGCCCCUUUGGCUUUGUUUGCAUAGAGGGUUUUCAAAUGAAGGUGGGCACAAACUAAAGUGCUGCUUAAGAGAUUUUUUCCCUCCCUUUUGGUAAUAUUACACUCAACCUAAGCAUAAACUUUGGUGUAAAUCAUUUUUAUUUGUUCACUUCACUAUUUUAGUGUGGCCUCGGAGAAGAACCAAACUUCAACCAGACAGAGUGUGUUGAGUGUGCUGAAGGCUACUAUUCCACUCUGUGCGGUGCUCAAUGUCAGCUGUGUCCUGCAGGAAGCCACUGUCCGUACAAAAAGAUGUCUGCACCUCUUCCUUGUCCCGUGGGCCAUUAUUCAGACAUUCCGGGCCAGACUGAGUGUAAAAAAUGCAAUGGUUCAUCAGCCUGCAGGAGUACAGUGACUCCGGUCUGGUCAAGGGGACAGUCUCAUCUUGGUCAGAGGUCAAGACAGCUUAUCUCCUGUCCCCCUGGGACAUACCGAGACGGAGAAAGAUCAGACUGUGUUGUGUGUCCUGCAGGUGAGUCAGUAUUUCAGAUAGGGCUGCUCGCUUUUCACAUUCAAUACCACAUUUUGAUUGUUAACAUUUGUUUUUGCAGGGCAUUACUGUGUUGCAAAUAUUGCGAUACAAUGCCCGGAAGGAACUUAUGGACCAAAGGAGGGGCUACAGAGAGAAAGGGACUGUGCUAUUUGUCCUGCAGGUUUUUACUGUUUGGAGGGCACGUCUCGGAGGCCGAGCUCUCAGUUUCUGUGCCCACAAGGGUAUUACUGUGAGGAAGGCACGGGUGUGCCGCACGGGUCACCUUGCCCUGCUGGAACUGCAGGAGGACAACUGGGUCAGACAAGUAGGGCAGCUUGCAAGAGGUGUGCAGAGGGUCGCUUCUGUCCCGCAGGUUAGGGCAUGAAACCAAGACACACAUAUGCAUGAUCACAUUCAUACACACAUAUACAGUAUGCAUAAUUAUCUUUUGUUUUUUGUUGACAUGAUAUUAUCUGUGAAAGAUGACUGGGCUUCUAUAGACAUACUCUUUUGUAGAAACCUAAAUAGUGAAAUGUUAUGAUUUUGUGUUUUACCGAAGAUUGCAGUAAGCUGCAACUUUAAUUUUCCUAAACCCACAUGAGCCACUGCUGUUAAACGGUUUCCUGCCCUCAACUGUUU